AUGGAUGGCAAGCAUGGAGCGCCCGAUCCACUCUGGAGAAGGUUCUGGAGAAAUCGAGCGAGCACCAACCUGCCCGCCCCAACCCUAGACGCCGUCGACCGCCGCCGUCCCCGACGUCGCCGCCGCCGCCGUCCACGACCUCCGCGAGGGAUGGCUCUUGGGCGGCUUGCCUCCAGGGUGCGCGGCUCGGCUCUGCAGGUGCGGGCUGCGGCUCCCCGCGCCUCGCCGCCGGCACCCUGCCCAUGCGUUCGUCCGAUGACCUACAGCAGCAAGCCCGUGCAGGGUGAGCAGCAGGGCAAGGGACCUUCAAGGCCAAUUGACCUCCUGCGUGAGUCCAAAUGGAGGAAUGCCAAGGACGAUGGCGCUGGCAUCCAUACCUCUGCUCCGCGUGUGCCUCAACCUGCGCCCCGCACAACCCCACUGGCCGGUGGUCAGCCCGUGUCCUGCAGGAGCAUAUCAUCGGAGGUUGUGUCUUUUGGUGUGCCUGCUCUUCCUGUGGCACGCCGCUUGUCGCGUCCGGACAUCACUGCUUAUGGACUGACCCCCUUUGGGCCUGGGCAGCAGCGGAGGGGCGUUGCCCAGAUGCCAUUCCAGCCGCUGGACAACAAGACAGCAGCAGCCAAGUAUGAAGAGCUCUCUCCGGAAGGACGCCGCGUGGCAAAUCUGACAAACAUGGUCUUCAACGAGACGGUCAAGAAGAUGAAGGAGAGCAACAGGAAGAGGUUUCAUCGCAUCAACGAGGACGUCCGGAUGCUUGUGGACAAGGUGAGGAUACUCGGGUGGACGACUUCGGCCGUGAUAGGUUUCAUAGGUGUGGGCUUGUACUACCUCUACGUCUUUGUCAAGGGGGUGGUGGAGGAUAUGAGCGACCACUCCGGAGAGAUUGCGUCAGCCCUUUACAAAGGUUAUCUGUAUACUAUCUGGUCACGGCUUGGAGUGAAGUUUGAGUGGAAGGAGAAGUGGAGUAAGAAGAAGCAGGUGGCGGAGAAGAGCGAAGCUCCGGCCAAGAAGUAG
rnacentral:rRNA from 1 species